UACGAAGGGGGCUAGCGUUGUUCGGAAUCACUGGGCGUAAAGGGCGCGUAGGCGGCUUUAUAAGUCGGGGGUGAAAGCCUGUGGCUCAACCACAGAAUUGCCUUCGAUACUGUAUGGCUAGAGACCGGAAGAGGUGAGUGGAACUGCGAGUGUAGAGGUGAAAUUCGUAGAUAUUCGCAAGAACACCAGUGGCGAAGGCGGCUCACUGGUCCGGUACUGACGCUGAGGUGCGAAAGCGUGGGGAGCAAACAGG
rnacentral:rRNA from 1 species